GAUGAACGCUGGCGGCGUGCCUAAUACAUGCAAGUCGAGCGAACAGGCGAGGAGCUUGCUCCUCUGACGUUAGCGGCGGACGGGUGAGUAACACGUGGAUAACCUACCUAUAAGACUGGGAUAACUUCGGGAAACCGGAGCUAAUACCGGAUAAUAUAUUGAACCGCAUGGUUCAAUAGUGAAAGACGGUUUUGCUGUCACUUAUAGAUGGAUCCGCGCAGCAUUAGCUAGUUGGUAAGGUAACGGCUUACCAAGGCAACGAUGCGUAGCCGACCUGAGAGGGUGAUCGGCCACACUGGAACUGAGACACGGUCCAGACUCCUACGGGAGGCAGCAGUAGGGAAUCUUCCGCAAUGGGCGAAAGCUUGACGGAGCAACGCCGCGUGAGUGAUGAAGGUCUUCGGAUCGUAAAACUCUGUUAUUAGGGAAGAACAAAUGUGUAAGUAACUAUGCACGUCUUGACGGUACCUAAUCAGAAAGCCACGGCUAACUACGUG
rnacentral:rRNA from 1 species